UAAUGCUUGGGAAUCUGGCUUAUGGAGGGGGAUAACUACGGGAAACUGUAGCUAAUACCGCGUAGAAUCGGGAGAUGAAAGUGUGGGACCUUCGGGCCACAUGCCAUAGGAUGAGCCCAAGUGGGAUUAGGUAGUUGGUGAGGUAAAGGCUCACCAAGCCGACGAUCUCUAGCUGGUCUGAGAGGAUGACCAGCCACACUGGGACUGAGACACGGCCCAG
rnacentral:rRNA from 1 species